AUGCAAUUUAACCACUCACAUGGACACUUGGCGAAACCAACGUGGUGUUAUUUUUUUCCUUUACCUUGCAUCUUCUCCUUUAUUUGAUGAGGUGUAACCCUUCCAUUCAUCUCUAAUAUGUUCGCCAGUUGCACUCACAGUGCACUCCAAUCACUACAGAUUAGCAGUGUAUCCUUCAAAACAAAGAUGGAGUUAUAAAGGACCAGCC